UUCGCAGAAUCUACCGCCAGAUCGGAAAC
rnacentral:sRNA from 1 species